GUCAUGUUCCUCGGGAGGUCUCUGCUGAAGGCAUGAUUCUAGAUACAGUCCCGCGGCGGUCAGAGGUGCGACUUUGGGAAGCCUUUGGAUCAAGAGGGUGCUGACGUCAACGGGUAUCAAUUGAUACCACCUAUGGGUUUAUACUGUGAUGGAAGGUCACACACAGGUUUGCAACAGAACCAGCUGGGUUUCAACCGCCUUUGCCACAACAGGGCUGACUGGGCUCGGAAAAGUCAACUUUUUGGUCUGCACAGGGCUGCGUGAUUGAUAAAGGGUCAGUGGCUAGGCUAGCUCCUGCCGCCCAAGAGUAGAGAGUCCCUCCCGCUUGCGCCCCUGUAGACGAGGUCUCACCGCCGCGUGGAACUCUGGCCGCUCUAACCCCGUCUAGAACGCGGCCCCUUUAAGACCGACCUGGAUGACCCGAAGGCCAGAGCGACCUUCUAGCGGCCGUCUCGAUGGUAAAUCUUCAGUUCCGGCCGGAAGUGCAUUUGCAGAGCUGGUUCCGCCGGGGAGGAGAACUCGCGUGCUCCGUGCAGAGGGGAUGCAGCCUGCGCAGCGUGGCUCGGGGGCGCCGUGGAGCCUCCCGAAGGCGAUCGAAAUGAACCACAUCCCCCAACGACUAGACGGAAGCACGCACUAGCUCCUUCCUCCCGAGGAGCGUUUCCAGUGACUUGAGCUUGGUUGGCCCAGGUAUGUCAAUCCUUGGGGGUGGGACGGUGACCUGAGGCCGACGGUCUGGGAAAAGGCUCCUGUGUGGCUGAACCCGCCCGAGGUGGGUGCAGCCCCGUACCAGACAGCCCGACCUUGACCUAAAGUAAAAUCCCAGAGGAGGAGGAACCUCUUCCCUGGGGUUAGAAUUUGCAGUAACAGGUGUGGACAUCCUAGCAGCAGUUUGGUGGUCAUGUAUGAUACUGCAAACAGGAGCCCUGCUGAAGCUGUGGGGACUGAGCACAGCUCAGGACUCUGCAAGAUUGAAGCCAUUUGAGUCCUCCAAAAGCAAAUAUUUGACCCAUUACUCGAGCCCCUCACUUUAGAUAAAAAAGAAAAAAAGACGUAUUCAUUAUUUUAUGAGUGUUGAUGUUUGCCUGGUGCCCCCAAGGGGUCACAAGAGGGUACCAGAUUUCCCAGAAGUGGUAUUAUAGAGUGUUGUCAGACCCGGUGUGGAUGCUGGGAACUGAACCCAGGCCCUUUAAGAGGGCAGCAAGUGUUCAGCUUCAAUGCUGAGCCAUCUCUCCAGCAACUGCACCACCCCGCUCUGAGAUAGGGUCUCACUUAGCCCAGGCUGGCCUUUACUCAUUAAGUAGCUGAGGGCAGCCUUUGAACUUCUGAUCCUCCUUCCUCUGCCUCUGGUAGGCGGCUGGAUGACCAGCAUCCUCGAGCACACGUGGUUUAUGGGAUGUACGGAUAAAGCUCAAGGCUGUAUGCAUGCUAGGAAGUCUUCUACUCCUGGGUGUCUGUCCCACCCACGUGGAGCUUAAACAAAGAUGCAUACAGUUGUGACUCCAGACGUCACUGGACAAGACACCAGUACAACCCAAACAAACAGAAAUCGUUCCCCAGGACUCACCUGAGCGACCGUGGGCCCCACUAGGUUGUCUCUUCAGUGUGGUUGAAGGACUGGCGUUUGCAUUUUGAGUAGC
rnacentral:lncRNA from 1 species